CCCACCAAUCAGCCAUCUGUGGUUUGAGACUCACAAGCUUAGGAGAGACUCGGGAGGCAUCAGUUCCGCAUCCCGCACUCCCACGUGAAUUUGCCCCCGCCCUGAGUCAGAACCCUAGAGGGGUGAAAUCCCUGAAUUCUGCAGAGGAAACCCAUACUUCUUUGCUUUUUCAGCAAUUCCAGGAGAUGUCGUUUUUCAAGUGGCAAAUGUGUGGCUCUAGAGGACAGAGUAACCACCUUGCAGCCAAGAAGCCCUGAUGUCAACUCCCAGCUCUGCUGCAGCACCCAGAAAUCACCGGACCUUUCUGCAUCUUUCUGGGUGACUCUGUCAUGAGGAUUUCAUAAUGUAAUUCCCUAGCACAUAAGAAUUUCUCAACCAAUAUGGCUUUCUUUUUUCCUUCUCACUAGUCUUUGAGCUUCUUAAAGGGAAGACAUGUCCUAUUCAUCUCUACACCCCCCACACCAGUCUGCAUUCAGUAAGUGCUCAAUCAAUGUCUGCUGAAUCACAUCUUCCCACUCAACUGCAUGGCCUCGGAUGAUCCAAUUCUGUGGGACUCAGGGUCUCCCUGAUUCUGAAGAUCUCCAUUUCAGCCACCCCAUCCUGGUGCUUUUUCUGGAGAGACUGGGAAAAAGGAGACAGAAGAAUCCACUCUAGCUGAGACUCCAGAUUGCCUGGGCUGUAAUUUACGGUGCUAUCACAAAGGGGUCCUUUUUCCGCAUGGUGCUCUGCGGUGAUGAGCCAGAAGCUGAAGCUGAGGGGUGUGUGACUCUCCCGCACACUCUCUGGAGUCUUAUUGGCUGUGCAAACUUGAGGGAGUUGCCUAACCACUCUGGGCCCUGUUUUCCUGGCUUUGCCACUCUUCAGCUGUGUGACCCGGGGAAGCUCUCAACCUCUUUGUGCCUCCAUUUCCACAUCUGUAAAAUGGGGAUAUGAAAGUGGCUGCUUUGUGAAGAGUCCUGAGAAUAAAUGAGUUAAGGAAAACUGAUAUGGAUAAAUAUGGAAGAGAGCUGGCCAGUGGAUGAAAUGGUGAUGUAAAGGUUAAGAGAAAUAAAAGCAGGAGACGAGGAGAGAGUCACACCACGGGACAGUUACAGCCAAGAAACAGAGAGGCUCCAGGAAACCAAUCUUACUCCACAUAUUAGAGGACUUACAAUACUUUUCAUAGGACUUACAGCCUCCUCCUUCCCCAGCAUGUUUGUAAGCAAGUAAACUAUAAAAGGUCAGUGCUGAAAAGAGAAUGGGGUGUUCUCCAGUUUCUCCACCCCUAAACCCUUGCAGAGAUGCUGUUCCAGCACAGAAACCAAUCCAGAAAUUCUACCAAGAUACCGAAUGUUCAGCAAAUAGACAAAGCACAAA
rnacentral:lncRNA from 1 species